UACGUAGGGUGCGAGCGUUGUCCGGAAUUAUUGGGCGUAAAGGGCUCGUAGGCGGUUUGUCGCGUCGGGAGUGAAAACAUCCAGCUUAACUGGGUGCUUGCUUUCGAUACGGGCAGACUAGAGGUAUGCAGGGGAGAACGGAAUUCCUGGUGUAGCGGUGAAAUGCGUUGAUAUCAGGAGGAACACCCAUGGCGAAGGCAGCUAACUGGGCAUUAUCUGACGCUGAGGUGCGAAAGCGUGGGGAGCAAACAGG
rnacentral:rRNA from 1 species